rfam:Turicibacter sp. H121, complete genome.
AUAGAUUACUAGGGGUGCCUUACGGCUGAGAGUGCAAAUUGCAUAACCCUUUGAACCUGAACUAGUUAGGACUAGCGGAGGGAAGUAGACGAGCCUUUUG